GUUUGGUUUGUUGUUUGGAGGGCUUUUUUGUUGUUUCAUGGAGAAUUUGGGGUCUUUUCCCACUCUUCCCCGAUCGUUUCUGUUCUUAUCUAGCGGGAGCAGCAGAUUUGCUACCUUCCAGCCAUGCCAGGGCAGCUUGGUUGCAGAUUUCCCGAGCCAGACCCUGUUCCUGGCAUAGGUUGUCCAGGGAAGUUGUGGAUGUCCCAUCCCUGGAGGUGUUCAAGGCCAGGUUGGAUGGGGCCUUGGGCAGCCUGGUCUGGUGGGAGGUGUCUCUGCCCGUGGCAGGGGAACUGGGUGAUCAUUAAGGUCCCUUCCAACCCAAACUAUUCUAUGGUUCUAUGAUUCCUGCUGCAGACAGUGGGAUUGCUUGGGUUGCAGGCCAAGAUAACUUUUUUGCAACAUAAGCAGGUUCAUAACGAUAUGAAAUGCAUUUCCAAAGCUGUUGGGACACCUGCAGCCCUCCCUGUUUUGAGUGGGAUGUGCCUCACCCCCGCAGGCGGCAGGAGGCUCGAUUGCUUUCCCUCUGUAGGUUCGGGAGAUCUGAAUGUACCAGACCUCCUCCCUGGCAAGGCAGAGGGUUCCCGAGGAGACACUGUGCAAUAUUAUCCAGCCGGUGACCUUAAAUCACACAUUGCAGAUCAGGUCACUGCAAAGGGGUUUUCCGAGGCGCCCUUCCCGAGCCCAGUGCAGCCUCCUCCAGGGAAAUCACGGUGAUUUGACCAUGGGUACUUGAAACGUCCACUCUCCGCUGGAUUUAUGGCUCAGUUGAUGUGAGCCAACACUUUCUAUUACUGCACAGAUAGAGUCAGAACGAAGCCGGAUCAGUUGUGCAAGCUGAGAAAGGAGGAGGCUCUGGAAACAUUACCAGCAAGAGGAGUGAUCUCAGCGAAAUAUUUCAGGCCAAACCGGGGGUGACACAAGGCCAAGAACCUCAUGGAGGGGGAGGCAGCUCCCGCGAGGGUCCGUGCCAGCCACGAAAGCAAAUGGAACCCAGAGGGGUGCAGGCAGCCCUGGGAUAGCGGCUGAGGGCCAGCUCAGAGAGGAGAAAUCUUGCAUUGGCAAGUACCUUGCAUGGCACCUGCGUUUCUGGAUGCUUUGGAGGACUGGGGUGUUGGAAGGAGUGGGGGCACAUCUCCGCGAGGUGGAGGCGGUGCACGGUCUUCUCGCAGGAUGGGAAAGAGAAGGUGUGAAGCGAAAUGGGUGGCUCGGGCCUUGCGUGUCACCAUGAGGAAGCAAUGACUUGAGGAGAGCAGCCCUCUUCCUGUCUUCCCUUUUGCUUCUCCCUUAAACAAGGUGUUUUGGGCUUUGCACAGUUUACAGGAACACAACCAGACUGCAAAGCAGCUGCUUCACAACCCAUUAAAGUGGGCCACCUGUUUUUCACAUCAUGCCCCAUCUCAAAGCCAGUUUUCUUCAUUUAUAUCUGUCCCGACAGAUACCAUGAAAUACAUCACUCAUUUAGAUAUGGGAGCUGACGUCUGGAGGACAACUUGCGUGGAGCACUUUGAUGUUGAGAGACAAAUUUCAAAAGACAGAAAAGCCCCUUCCAUGUUUCUAAUUACCCCGCUCCCAGGGCCUGCCACUGAUUAGGGCGACCCGGCUCGGCUCUCCCUUGCCUGGCUGGGUGAGGAGAGGCUGCCAGCCUCCACAAACCACCCUGCCAGGAAAACUAACACGGGUGCGUAAACAGAGCUACUGACUAAAGUCAACAGCGAGCUGCAGCCAACAGCAAACAGCCAGUGCAGGCAUGAAAAUGGGGCAAAAGCCUUUUCUGCAUCCCCACAUGCACCCCCAGUCUCCACGUCACUGAAGGAGGCUUGGGAGUAGACGAUAUCUGCUCCAGCAACCAAGGCUCUUUUGGAAGACGGUGCACGGAAAGCAUUACAGACCUUGCUAACACUUCUGCUCACAUGCAAGCCUUUUAUCUCGGCAGCACAGUUGGAAAAGCUGAAUCACCACCGAGAGAGUGAGGACUGAAGGGUAUUUUUUCAUAAGCAACAGGCUGCUCUUUAUUUGAUCUUCAUGGUCCCUAUUUCUAUCAAUAUUCCUAAAGCUGAGGGAUCAAGCGUGGAAAAAUUAAAACCAUGCUACCAUGCUAAAGAAGAUUAGGAUUGUGGCAAUAUACUGACUGCUCCUUGGGGAAAUCAUUUUGUGGCUGCAAGAGCUACAGCAAUCCUGGAGGCUAAAAUAGUGUUUCAGGAACAGGCAACAGGAAAGUAAGGUUUGGGAGUCUGCAUCCAAACCCAGCCAAGGGCAAUCUCAAGCACCUGUGCUCCCACUCUGUGCUCCCAGCCAGGCUUCACAGGCAUCACUGGUCUACAGAAUCAAUGAACUUUGCCAAGCUAAACUCAACUGUGUUUUUACACCCACAAGCAGGCAUCUUCAAGCAAGUCUUACUGUUAGUCUCAAGGGACUUUGACUCUAGGCCCCAAAAAAGAAAUCUCACAUUUUCAAGCACGGGUGACUUCAAGAUCUCACUUGAAAAACACAACUGGAAAUGUGUUUGUGGGAACUGAAAUUCCUCAGAGCUUCUGCUGGGGAAGUGUUCUUGCAGGUGGGCUCUGCACUCACAUGGCUCGCCUUUGACACUCUGGAGAUAAUUUGUUUUUUUGAAAGGACUUUGUAAACUUUUGAAUUCCUGGCCACCUCUUUGGGCUGCUUAUGUAGAAGAGAAGAUUAUUUUGGAACGCCCAGCCUCAGUCAGGAGGCCAGAAAUCCCUUGAAAACGAGGAAAAGGAAGCAUUUCUAAGCCUCUAACCUCUAGUGUCCGAUGAAAGCUUAUCUCCAGCUUCCAAAUUGUGCUUCAGCCUCCCAGGUCCCCUACAUCCCGAUGGGCUCAUUUCUUCCUAAAUAAACUUAAAGCACAGAGGCAAAAUGCAUUUGUUGCCUGGGAAACAUGCAAUUUAGCAUAAGAGGUGGCCAUCCUAAGAGAGCCAUGGACCUCCAAAGAAGUUUUUAUAUCAAUAAUUGUAAGCAACCAGAAAUACCAGGUUAGUAAAAUGUUCCCUGCUACUUGCUUGUUACUUUUCAGGUUGUUUGACAAGUUCCUCAUUAUAGCAUAUGAUUUAUUUUGGUUUUAUGUAGAGUCUUGGUCCUCAUUUCAGAAAUCUUUUACUGUAAUAGUAAGGGAAUUUGACAGAAAUUCAGAAGGGAACAGAAACCACUGGCUGAAGAUUACUGGUAAACUCUUCAUUGUAUCAUCACUCUGUCUCAUUAGCUCUCAUUUUUCACUUGGAUUCAAUGCCUAUUUUCUGUAACACAUGGCUCGUUUGAAAUAGUCCUAUCUCCUCAGGCCUUCUAAAUGCCACUAUAUGUUAUACUUUGCAAUAGGAUGUGAUAUUCUGCUUCUGGCAUUGAUAGUACACUAACAGUCACAAAUCCUCUCUCUCAAGAAAAUACACCACUACUUUCCUCUUAGAACUACUACUUGGAAGGUUAGAGGGUUGCU